rnacentral:rRNA from 1 species
UACGUAGGGUGCAAGCGUUGUCCGGAAUUAUUGGGCGUAAAGAGCGUGUAGGCGGCCAGGUAGGUCAGCUGUGAAAACUCGAGGCUCAACCUCGAGACGCCGGUUGAAACCAUCUGGCUAGAGUCCGGAAGAGGAGAGUGGAAUUCCUGGUGUAGCGGUGAAAUGCGCAGAUAUCAGGAGGAACACCGAUGGCGAAGGCAGCUCGCUGGGACGGUACUGACGCUGAGGCGCGAAAGCGUGGGGGAGCAAACAGG